rnacentral:rRNA from 1 species
UACGUAGGGUGCGAGCGUUGUCCGGAAUUAUUGGGCGUAAAGAGCUUGUAGGCGGUUUGUCGCGUCUUCUGUGAAAAUCCGGGGCUCAACCCCGGACUUGCAGUGGGUACGGGCAGACUAGAGUGUGGUAGGGGAGACUGGAAUUCCUGGUGUAGCGGUGAAAUGCGCAGAUAUCAGGAGGAACACCGAUGGCGAAGGCAGGUCUCUGGGCCACUACUGACGCUGAGAAGCGAAAGCAUGGGGAGCGAACAGGAUUAGAUACCCCCGUA